UGAGGAAUAUUGCGCAAUGGGGGCAACCCUGACGCAGCAACGCCGCGUGAGUGAGGAAGGUUUUCGGACCGUAAAGCUCUGUCGAGCGGGAAGAAAUGCAUGAUGGCUAAUAUCCAUUAUGCUUGACGGUACCGCUAAAGGAAGCACCGGCUAACUCCGUGCCAGCAGCCGCGGUAAUACGGGGGGUGCAAGCGUUGUUCGGAAUCAUUGGGCGUAAAGAGCGUGUAGGCGACUGAAUAAGUCAGAUGUGAAAUCCCUGGGCUUAACUCAGGAAGUGCAUUUGAAACUAUUCAGCUCGAGUAGGGGAGAGGAAAGUGGAAUUCCUGGUGUAGAGGUGAAAUUCGUAGAUAUCAGGAGGAACACCGGUGGCGAAGGCGACUUUCUGGCCCUAUACUGACGCUGAGACGCGAGAGCGUGGGUAGCAAACA
rnacentral:rRNA from 1 species